rnacentral:rRNA from 1 species
GUUUGAUCUGGCUCAGAUUGAACGCUGGCGGGAUGUUUACGCCCUGCAAGUCGAGCAGCGGCACGGACUUCGGUCGGUGGCGGUGGCGAACGGGUGAGUAAUGUAUCCGGAACGUGCCUAGUAGCGGGGGAUAACUACGCGAAAGCGUAAACUAAUACCGCAUGCGCCCCUUCAGCGGGGGAAAGCGGGGGACCUUCGGGCCCUCGCACUAUUGGAAGCGGCCGAUAUCGGAUUAGCUAGUUGGUGGGGUAACGGCUCACCAAGGCGACGAUCCGUAGCUGGUUGGGGGAAGGGACGACCAGCCACACUGGGACUGAGACACGGCCCAGACUCCGGGAGAGCAACAGUGGGAGUACACUGGAUAAUGGAAACCCUGAUCCAGCCAUCGCGUAUUACGAUGAAGGCGCUGGUUGUAAAAGCACUUUUGGCUGAAAGAAACGGCACGGGAUAAUACCCCGUGCAGCGGCACCUGCAAGUGCUUUCCGGCUAACUACGUGCCAGCAGCCGCGGCAUUACGUAGGGUGCAAGCGUUAAUCUGAAUUACUGGGCGCCAAGCGUGCGCAGGCGGUUCCGGAAAGAAAGAUGUGAAAUCCCGAAACAACGCGGAACUGCAUUUUAACUACCGAGCUGAAGAGUGUCAGAGGGAGGGUGGAUUCGCGUGUAGCAGUGAAAUGCGUAGAUAUGCGGAGGAACACCGAUGGCGAAGGCAGCCUCCGGGAUAACACUGACGCUCAUGCACGAAAGCGUGGGGAGCAAACAGGAUUAAGACCACCUGGUAGUCCACGCCUAAACGAUGUCAGCGGCUGUUGGGGCGGCUUCGGGCCUUGGUAGCGCAACUAACGCGUGAAGUUGACCGCCUGGGAGUACGGUCGCAAGAUUAAAACUCGAAGGUGACGGGGACCCGCGCAAGCGGUGGAUGAUGUGGAUUAAUUCUGAUGCAACGCGAAAAACCUUACCUACCCUUGACAUGUCUGGAAUCCGAAGAGAUUUGGGAGCACUUCGCAAGAGAACCGGAACACCGGGCUGCAUGGCUGUCGUCAGCUCGUGUCGUGAGAUGUUGGACUAAGUCACAACGAGCACAACCCUUUGUCAUUAGUUGCUACGAAAGGAGGCACUCUAAUGGAACUGCCGGUGAUGACCGGAGGAAGGUGGAGGAUGACGUCAAGUCCUCAUGGCCAUAUGAGUAGGGCUUCACACGUCAUACAAUGGUCGGGACGGGUCACCAGCCCACGAGAGGACAAUCCAGAAACCCGAUCGUAGUCCGGAUCAUGAUCUGCAACUCGACUGCGUGAAGUCGGAAUCGCUAGUAAUCGCCGGAUCAGCAUGUCGCGGUGAAUACGUUCCGGGUCUUGUACACACCACUUCAGCCGCACCAUGGGAGUGGGUUUUGCAAAGUAGUUAAGCUAACCGUAAGGAGGGCGAUUACGGUAGAAGUUCAUGACUGGGGUGAAGUCAGCAACUAAGGCCAA